rnacentral:rRNA from 1 species
CCUACGGGAGGCAGCAGUGGGGGAUAUUGCACAAUGGGGGGAACCCUGAUGCAGCGACGCCGCGUGGGUGAAGAAGCGCCUCGGCGCGUAAAGCCCUGUCAGCAGGGAAGAAAAUGACGGUACCUGAAGAAGAAGCCCCGGCUAACUACGUGCCAGCAGCCGCGGUAAUACGUAGGGGGCAAGCGUUAUCCGGAUUUACUGGGUGUAACGGGGGCGCAGACGGCGAUGCAAGCCAGGAGUGAAAGCCCGGGGCCCAACCCCGGGACUGCUCUUGGAACUGCGUGGCUGGAGUGCAGGAGGGGCAGGCGGAAUUCCUGGUGUAGCGGUGAAAUGCGUAGAUAUCAGGAAGAACACCGGUGGCGAAGGCAGCCUGCUGGACUGCAACUGACGUUGAGGCCCGAAAGCGUGGGGAGCAAACAGGAUUAGAUACCCGGGUAGUC